UACGAAGGGAGCUAGCGUUGUUCGGAAUCACUGGGCGUAAAGCGCACGUAGGCGGAUGUGUCAGUCAGGGGUGAAAUCCCGGAGCUCAACUUCGGAACUGCCUUUGAUACAGCACGUCUUGAGUCCGAUAGAGGUGGGUGGAAUUCCUAGUGUAGAGGUGAAAUUCGUAGAUAUCAGGAAGAACACCUAUGGCGAAGGCAGCUCUCUGGGACGGUACUGACGCUGAGACGCGAAAGCGUGGGAGCGAACAGG
rnacentral:rRNA from 1 species